AGGAGAGUGUCUGCAGUGCCAAUUAGCCACCUAGCACAGAGCCUUCCUUGAAGAAUACCAUGAUGGUGAGGACUAAGACGCACACUGAAGCACCGGGCUGUGUUGUGGGGGUACAGCAUCCUCUGAGUGUUAGGUAAUUGGAGCGUUGUACCUCCAGUGAAAACUGCUGAUUUCAUAGGAAGUGCUAACAGGACCUUUGUGUGCCAUGUUUCCCUUUUCCAGGGAGCCAGCGGGGCCAGACACAGAGAGCUCUGGGCCCUAUAGUGGGAACAGAGCCCAGCCAUACCUGAGUAGGG